rnacentral:rRNA from 1 species
GGUGGCUAUACCGGAGGGGCAACACCCGUUCCCAUCCCGAACACGGAAGUUAAGCCCUCCAGGGCCGAUGAUACUUGGAUCGCGAGGUCCUGGGAAAGUAGGUCGUUGCCGGAUUUAAAUUGA